CAAAUACAUGAAGAUGCAAGACAUACUGAUUUUCAAAAAUGUCAGCCCAAAUGACACCUUUUAAGAUUCCACUGCUAAUUUUAUAUUGCAAAAGAGGAAGUAAUAAUGCUCGACAGCCAUUAUAUCUUCCAGUAAACAGCACAGCCUUUAUCUCAGCGUUUCACAGAAACAGAGCAAGCCUAUUCCAUCCUGUUUUGCAGCUCAGGACCCAGGGACGCCAGGUCAGGGAUGUGCUGUGCUGUGCCAUGCAUGCCGCCUAGAGCACGUCCCCUGCGGCGCGGGGACAGCAGCCGUGCACAGCUGCAGCAGCUGGAGGUCUGUUUGUCAUUAUGAGAGAAAACUGGAUGAAGAAUCUUCAAGUCAGGAUUGUUUGUGUGCAGGUCAUUGGUCUGCUUGCCCUUCGCUGCCCAUGGCCCAUGAUGUGCUCUCAGCCACCUCCUUCAUCUCUAGCUGGAUAACAGAAGCCUUCCAGGGACAAACUGUUCUACAGCUCUAGGAGAGGCACAAGCCCAACCUGGUCUCAGUUUCAAGAGGACUACAGCUCCCAUGAUCCCUAAGAAGAACUGGACCUGAGCUUUGACAGUGAUGCACUUCGUGAAAAGGAGGAGAAAUGAGCCCUUGGAUGAAGGUCCUCUCCGCAACGAGUCUGAUGAAGCACUGCGUGCAUUCGACAGCCAGCUUGACACCGCCUCGCCACGUGCAGCACCUGGGCUCCAACAGAUGUCGUGCGCAAGUAGGCCUGAAAGGCUUAUUAAAUUUUAAUUAAACAUUUAAGCUUCAAGAUUAGAAGGCCUCCAUAAGAUAGGCAUCGGUAAUAUGUGUGCUACUAUGAAUGAGGAGGUAGGUCUUAAGCAAUGUAUUGCUGGUAAACAAGCUAAAACUCUUUACUGCAAAUAAAUAUUGGCUUCCUAGCGAGUUCUUCAGGAGUUUGUCAGAAGGCAUCCAGAGCCAGACUUCGAUGCUCCUCUCUUCUUUCUGGAUGCGUUCCUACAAAUACUAAAAAGCAACUCUAGAAUAUCAUAGCACUUCUUCUAAUAGGCAUCUAUACAUGUUUUAUUGUUAGUAAGCACCGUAUGUCACUCUUUAAACAGCCCAGUACUGUAUUUACUGGGACUCAAGUGUGUGUGGUACAUAACACCACAGCUCCUGCAUAUGAUGUACCAGCUAUACAUUACACAAAACUUUGAUAAACAAGUCACUUUAAACAAUUCCUUCCCCUUUCAGGAAAGCAUUUAUGUGUGCGUUGUCUUACCCAUGGUGCAGAGUGUUUGGAAUAUGUUAUAAAGGGUAACAGAUGUAUUUGAAUAAGGGCUUUUUUGGAUGUCACUGGGAUACGUCUUUGAAGACAGGGCAGUUCUGAAAUGUCAAAGCAACGGUAAAUAAAAAAUUUAUUAAAAAAAAACACCCAAAAAACCCCAAACCCACGCCGCUCUCCCUGAGUGAAAAUCUACAAUGACAUGAAUCACCCUUUUAACUAAUUGAAAAAUUCUUUAGACAUGUUUCUCCUACGGCAACUGGGCCAGCAUUCAGCUGAUUGGUGGGGCUUGUGAAAUGAUCUUUAGGACUUUUCACUCUGAUCAAAAAAUCUUCCCAACUCCUAAUCGUCCAGCUGGCCUGGAGACGGAGCAAGGGAUGUCUUCAUAGAUCCUUGGGAUACGUUCAAAAAUGCAGUCUUUCUUUCAGCAAUGUAAGUAUAUGUGUCUUUGGUACUUUUCCAGCCACUCACUUAAACUUGACCAUGUAUUGAGCGCUAGGUGUGAAAGAAAUAUACGUGUCUUUAAAAGUUAACAAGAAAAGGAUUUUUGUUUGUUUAAUUUAGAAGCUGGCAUUCUGCCUCAUGCUUUUUCUAGUUGCUAAUAGCAGGCAACUUCAAUCUCCACCAGGUCCUGAGAAGGGCUAGAGGCACUGAGUACACAAGAGGACAGGAUUUACACCUUUCUAUUUGGCUGACUUCGCCUAAUUUGGCAGAAGAAAAAUCUUUGGCAUUCCUGGUUUAAAGAAAUCUGCAAACUAAGCGAGGUUUGCUGAACUGUUGCUGUCUAGGAGUUGCUAAACCGUGAUAGCAUUUCGACAAUGAAAUGGCUAAAAUAGCACAAGCGUCGCUCCUGUUACUUCUAAAGCAUCUUGGGACUAUCCUAGAAUUUACUUGCUUUUAUUUUCCUGAACAAUCCGGUACUAGAGACAAGGUUUGCAGUUAACAUUCAUCCCAUGUGUACUUCAUUAAUGCACACAUUUGUUAAA